UUUACAAAAUAAAAAUUGAGGAAAAGUGAAACCCUAAUUGAUAUGGGCAAUGAUAUAUAAAUGCGAACUGUAUUCUUCAAUUGAGACAUUCAGGUUUUCAGCAUUUUUGCUGAGCCUGAAGAACUGGGCAGUGAUUAGAAAGAGAGAGGCCUCGAGUGGGAAUACCCAAUUCCAAACAAAACCAAAACAAACAAAAACAAACAAGGAGAUUAGAUCUUGAUGGUGCCGCCGGUACACCCUUUUCACCGAAGUGAAAUUUGGUGAAUUUGUUGUGAUUUGGCAGCGGCCAGACAACCGUAGAGAUGGAAUCCACAGAUCUUGAGUUUAUUUCUCAAUAUUCUACUAAUUCCAUCUUACAUUUCUUUUCUUCAUAAAAAACAUACUGCUAAUGGUUCUUCGUAGAAUGUAUGAGUUUUUAUCUUAGGCUUUGUUUGGAUUAGUUAUUUGUAAAUUUAAAUAAUAGAAUGCCAUUAAAUACCACCAUUACAUUCUACUAAACUAAACAUAUCCUUAGGAAAGAAAUCAACUCCAGUACAUUGAGGAGGGUGAUCCUAGGCAAGAUCAGCACAUUAAGUUUGAUGCUUAUAUGCGAAGUUAAAUGGAUAAAUUCAAUCUGUUAAAUUGAUGAUUGAACAUUGAGUUGAAGUUAAAACUUUAUUCAUAAGUUUAGGUCUGUAUCUUUUUGUAAUUUUAAAAGAGCAUUGCUCCAGUGUUAUGGUUUCCCUGCCAUGUUCCAUUACUUUGUGGAUUUUUGUGUGGCUGAUCUAGUUGAGGUUGGUAUGUCUGUUUGCCAUUCUUACAUAUGCUUGCUCUAACACCUCAAUUCAAUACCUUAGGAGUCAUAUAGUUCACUGAUUUUGUCUUGUUUGGUUACUAAAUUGUCAAACAAUGGAAUGAGCAUUUAAUAUUUUCUGCUUCA